CUCCGACCUCCCCGAGCCCCCGGUGACUCAAGAUGCUGGGGACAAGAGCCCUUUGGGAAGCGCUCUUGAGACCCAGGUGUCACCUUCAACAUCACGGCACUACGAACCUCAGAGGCACCUACCAUUGUGCGACACUGGCCACCUCGGGCUGAUGGUAAAGCCUUUCGUGACCUCCCUCGUCUCCACAGACCCAGAUGUCCUGGGUCCCUGACUCUGGUCUCACCCACCCCGAUCCUCGUCUUCAGUAGUUAUUAGUCUAGAUCCUUUCUUCUAGGACCCAGCUUGUUGGUUUUUUAACAUUUAUUUAUUUGGCUGCACUGAGUUUCAGUUACAGCAUGCGGGAUCUUCGAUCUUCUUGGGGUAAACACGAUCUUUAGUGGCGGUAUGUGGGGAUCUAGUACCCUGACCAGGGAUUGAACCCGGGCUCCCUGCAUUGGGAGUGCAGUGUCAUAGCCACUGGGCCACCAGGGAAGUCCCCACCCCCAUCCCCCUGCUAUUGGUUUUAACAUCAGCUGUCAUCUCAGAGAAUAAUCUCUAAAAAUAGUUUAAUGUUGUAUCUUUCUCCUUACUGUCCUUGGCACCACUCACAGGAGCAGCUCAUGCAAGGUGGGUAGAAGGGUUGACUUUAGAACAGAUGGGCCCUUGGACCCCACUUCCUGCCUCACAGUGACCACCUGGCCACACUCCACUGCUUUCUUUCCUCACCUCAGCCCUACUUUUCGUCCACAGCGGUAUGUUUGCCUGGCUCAGUGACAAUAAAAGGCAGCUGCUGAAUCUCA
rnacentral:lncRNA from 1 species